rnacentral:rRNA from 1 species
GACGAACGCUGGCGGCGUGCUUAACACAUGCAAGUCGAACGGAAAGGCCCUGCUUUUGUUGGGUGCUCGAGUGGCGAACGGGUGAGUAACACGUGAGUAACCUGCCCUUGACUUUGGGAUAACUUCAGGAAAUUGGGGCUAAUACCGGAUAGGAGCUCCUGCUGCAUGGUGGGGGUUGGAAAGUUUCGGCGGUUGGGGAUGGACUCGCGGCUUAUCAGCUUGUUGGUGGGGUAGUGGCUUACCAAGGCUUUGACGGGUAGCCGGCCUGAGAGGGUGACCGGCCACAUUGGGACUGAGAUACGGCCCAGACUCCUACGGGAGGCAGCAGUGGGGAAUAUUGCAAAAUGGGCGGAAGCCUGAUGCAGCAACGCCGCGUGCGGGAUGACGGCCUUCGGGUUGUAAACCGCUUUCGCCUGUGACGAAGCGUGAGUGACGGUAAUGGGUAAAGAAGCACCGGCUAACUACGUG